rnacentral:lncRNA from 1 species
GAAAGUUGACAUCAUUGACUGAGCUGCAUUUGCAAUCUACGGCCAUUGAAGAAUUACCUAAAUCUAUUGGUUCAUUGAAGGAGCUCAAGACUCUAGAUGCCUCUUAUUGCACAUCGUUAGCCCGCAUACCCAACUCAAUAGGCAAGUCACUAUCUUUGUCUCGCCUUGACCUAACAGGAUGCCAUAAACUUGCUCAACUUCCAGACUUUAUAGGCUCCCUUGUAUCUCUACAACAGUUGUUAUUGUCGGGAUGCCACUUGUUGAGACAAAUCCCAAACUCGAUUGGAAAGUUGACAUCAUUGACAGAGCCGCAUUUGAAAUCUACGGCCAUUGAAGAAUUACCUGAAUCCAUUGGUUCUUUGAAGGAGCUCAAGACUCUAGAUGCCUCUUAUUGUGCAUCGUUAGCCCGCAUACCCAACUCAAUAGGCAAUUCAAUAUCUCUGUCUCACAUUGACCUAACAGGAUGUCAUAAACUUGCUCAACUUCCAGACUCUAUAGGCUCCCUCAUGUCUCUACAGUGGUUGUCAUUGUCAGGAUGCCACUCAUUGAGACAAAUCCCAUACUCGAUUGAAAAGUUGACAUCACUGACUGAGCUACAUUUGAAAUUUAAAGUUAUUGAAAGAUUACCUAAAUCCAUUAGUCUUUUUAAGGAGCUCAAGACUCUAGAUGGCUCUUAUCAUGCAUCGUUAGCCUAUAGACCCACUUCAAUAGGCAAUUCAACGUCUCCGUCUUGUCUUGUCCUAAC